AUUGAACGCUGGCGGCAUGCUUUACACAUGCAAGUCGAACGGUAACAGGCCGCCAGGUGCUGACGAGUGGCGAACGGGUGAGUAAUGCAUCGGAACGUGCCCAGUCGUGGGGGAUAACUACUCGAAAGAGUAGCUAAUACCUCAUACGAUCUAUGGAUGAAAGCGGGGGACCGUAAGGCCUCGCGCGAUUGGAGCGGCCGAUGUCAGAUUAGGUAGUUGGUGGGGUAAAGGCUCACCAAGCCAACGAUCUGUAGCUGGUCUGAGAGGACGACCAGCCACACUGGGACUGAGACACGGCCCAGACUCCUACGGGAGGCAGCAGUGGGGAAUUUUGGACAAUGGGCGCAAGCCUGAUCCAGCAAUGCCGCGUGCAGGAAGAAGGCCUUCGGGUUGUAAACUGCUUUUGUACGGAACGAAACGACUCUGGUUAAUACCCGGGGCUAAUGACGGUACCGUAAGAAUAAGCACCGGCUAACUACGUG
rnacentral:rRNA from 1 species